GACAGAGGUGCCAAGCGUUAGGCGGAAUCACUGGGCUUAAAGCGUGUGUAGGCGGACUUGUAAGUACCUUGUAAAAUCCCACGGCUCAACCGUGGAACUGCUUGGUAUACUGCUUGUCUUGAGCCACUUAGGGGCUACCGGAACAAAUGGUGGAGCGGUGAAAUGCGUAGAUAUCAUUUGGAACGCCAAUGGUGAAAACAGGUAGCUGGGAGUGUGCUGACGCUGAGGCGCGAAAGCCAGGGGAGCAAACGGG
rnacentral:rRNA from 1 species